rnacentral:pre_miRNA from 7 species
UCUUCAGAGACUUGGGUGGUCGCACCAAUCCUGGACGAGCCCCCAAUGAAAGACCCCUGAAGGGAGACCCUCACUCAAGUCUCAGGAUAAUAGCAGACCCCCUAGAAACUCACGAGAGA